CCUACGGGAGGCAGCAGUGGGGAAUUUUGGACAAUGGGCGAAAGCCUGAUCCAGCCAUUCCGCGUGCAGGAUGAAGGCCCUCGGGUUGUAAACUGCUUUUGUACGGAACGAAAAAGCUCCGGCUAAUACCUGGAGUCCAUGACGGUACCGUAAGAAUAAGCACCGGCUAACUACGUGCCAGCAGCCGCGGUAAU
rnacentral:rRNA from 1 species